rnacentral:misc_RNA from 1 species
AUUUUAUUGCCUAAAUUUUUUAAGAUUUUUGGACGCUGUUUGUUUGGUGGCAAACAAACGUGUGGUCCGACCGAUGGUAAGCGGAUUACGUAGCCUAUGGAUACCUGCAACUCCCGGAGCAUUGUAAGCGGUUUGCUAAUCUUACCCCCGACCCUGCCAAGCUCUAGAUACCGUACCACAAAAAGACAACACUACUUAAGUAAUGUUUCUUAUAUGAAAGUUGCGUCAACAAUGUAUGGUAAUAUGGUUUCUACGACAUUGUAAAUGUCCUUUCUCGGUUGUCUUCCGCGCUGUGUCCUAUUC